ACGAAGGUGGCAAGCGUUACUCGGAAUUACUAGGCGUAAAGCGCAGGUAGGCGGUUGUGUAAGUCUGCUGUGAAAGCUCCCGGCUUAACUGGGAGAGGGCAGCGGAUACUGCAUAGCUAGAGUGGGGGAGAGGAUACUGGAAUUCCCGGUGUAGCGGUGAAAUGCGCAGAGAUCGGGAGGAACACCUAAGGCGAAAGCAGGUACCUGGACCAUUACUGACACUAAGGUGCGAAAGCUAGGGGAGCAAACAG
rnacentral:rRNA from 1 species